CAUGAAGCCGGAAUUGCUAGUAAUGGCAGGUCAGCAUACUGCCGUGAAUACGUUCCCGGGCCUUGUACACACCGCCCGUCACACCAUGAGAGUUGGGAAUACCCGAAGCCUGUGAGCUAACUAUUUAUAGAGGCAGCAGUCGAAGGUAGAAUCAAUGAUUGGGGUGAAGUCGUAACAAGGUAGC
rnacentral:rRNA from 1 species